GGCCUUAUAUUCAGUUAUGAUUUUAGACUGCAAUUCUAGAGGUGUAAAAUGCUAUUUUACUAAGGCUU
rnacentral:tRNA from 9 species